rnacentral:rRNA from 1 species
UACGUAAGAUGCGAGCGUUAUCCGGAAUUAUUGGGCGUAAAGCGUCCGCAGGUGGUUUGAAAAGUCAAUCAUUAAAUACCAGUGCUCAACAUUGGUGCCGUGGUUGAAACUUUCAUACUAGAAGAUGGGAGAGGUGUGUAGAAUUCUCUAAGUAGGGGUAAAAUCCGUAGAUAUAGAGAGGAAUACCAAAAGCGAAGGCAGCACACUGGACCAUUCUUGACACUCAGGGACGAAAGCGUGGGGAGCGAAAGGG